AUAUUAUCCCCUUGUAGUGUAGUUUAAUAGCUAUCUACAUAAUAACUUAAUAUAAAGUAUAAUAGUUUAUAUUUUAUAAUAUGACGUUAACAAUUUUGUUUAAUAUUUGAAAAUGUUAGUAUUAGUAAUAUUAGUAUAUGUGCUAAAGGAACUCGGCAAAAAACCACUCAACUGUUUAUCAAAAACAUAGCUAUAUGAAUUAAUAUAUAGUUAUUUCUGCUCAAUGAUUUAAAUAGCCGCAGUACUCUGACUGUGCAAAGGUAGCAUAAUCAGUUGGCUUUUAAUUAGAGUCUGGUAUGAACGAAAAUAUGGGUAGUAACUGUCUUAGCACAUUUUUUCGAACUUAUUAAACAAGUGCAAAUGCUUGUAAUUUAACAAUAGACGAGAAGACCCUAGAAACUUGGACAAGUUUUUGUUGGGGCGACAGAAUUACACUUAACUAAUCUUAUAAUACACGACGCGAUGUUGAAAGAAUAAGUUACUCUAGGGAUAACAGCAUAAUUUCAUUAGUUUGUGACCUCGAUGUUGGACUAGGUACUAUACCCUUAAGGCAAGGAUAUAUUAUGCUCUGUUCGAGCAAAAUUACCUACAUGAUCUGAGUUCAGACCGG
rnacentral:rRNA from 1 species